UGGGGAGUAUUGGACAAUGGGCGCAAGCCUGAUCCAGCCAUGCCGCGUGAGUGAUGAAGGCCCUAGGGUUGUAAAGCUCUUUCACCGGUGAAGAUAAUGACGGUAACCGGAGAAGAAGCCCCGGCUAACUUCGUGCCAGCAGCCGCGGUAAUACGAAGGGGGCUAGCGUUGUUCGGAUUUACUGGGCGUAAAGCGCACGUAGGCGGACUAUUAAGUCAGGGGUGAAAUCCCGGGGCUCAACCCCGGAACUGCCUUUGAUACUGGUAGUCUUGAGUUCGAGAGAGGUGAGUGGAAUUCCGAGUGUAGAGGUGAAAUUCGUAGAUAUUCGGAGGAACACCAGUGGCGAAGGCGGCUCACUGGCUCGAUACUGACGCUGAGGUGCGAAAGCGUGGGGAGCAAACAGG
rnacentral:rRNA from 1 species